rnacentral:lncRNA from 1 species
AAAUGUCCAGCUCCUUAUCAGCCCUGGAGUUGAAUGAAAUAGUUCCAAACGGAGAGUCACAUUUUCAGUGCUGCCUGACAGACAGGCCUUAACAUUCUGUGUUUGUUUUUUGCUUUCAAGAAGAGUUCUGUUCCUAAAAGAUUGAAGGAGGAUUAGGAGGAAGAUUCAUUAUUAUAUUACAGUAGAGUCUCGAUUAUCUGUCCUUCGGUCAUCCGACAUUCUGGAUUAUCCGACGUCACGGCUGCUUGGGGGCGUGGCUGUAGGCAUUUCCGCGCCCCAGACACGCCCCCAAACAUGGCGGCCGCGACGGGCAAGGAGAGAAGGGCGAGUGAAACCUCACCCCAAAACACGCCCCCAAGCGCGGCGGUGGCGGCAGCGAGCAGGGAAUUAAAUUUUGCUACCUGGAAAUUCUGUUCCAAUUGGUGAUACCAAUGAGGUGGUGCCAUGGGAGCCAGAGAUAUUGGUGACAGNAAAGGAACAACAGUCUACCUUUCCUGAUGGAAGAGGGUACAAUGAAGAGCCCUGAGCUUGGGUACCUGUGGUUUGGAACCACAAAGUCACAUCCAAGAAUUUGUGCCACACUGAAUAUAAGGGAAGUUCUGAUUCUUGAACACAAUUUUUUUUCGACUGUUGUGAUACGUUCUGUCGUGGCAGUUGACCAAAGCGAAGCGUACCGGUUUUGUACUGUGGGAAGAAUGUUCCUUUUCCAGUUUGCUGCUAUAAGUUGUUUUGUUGUAAGUAAUAAUACAUCCAAGAGUUGCAUGGUAGAUUGUGUUAAGUUUAGUUUACGACACAGGCCGCGGUCGGACAUCGUCAAUGUAAUCCGUAUCAGAAGAGUACACGCAGUGAAUUCGUCUUCUGGUCGUUCCCACAGUUACAGUUUAACACGGAGUCAAUUCGUACUUGCUCGUUCCCACACUGAUAUUUCCCGUGCUUGGCAGUACCCUUUCUGCCUCCACCCCUCAUCAAAUUCUCCUCCCUAUGCAGUCAGCGAUUGGCUGCAGUCCUAACGUUCAAACCUUGACGUCACAGGGGCGGGAAAGUCAAGCUCCGUUCUCCUAUGUCCCUGCUGCUACUUCAGAACAGAGAUUCACUUGGCAGCGUUACUAGGCAUUCGCCAUUUGCUCCUCCCUGCA